AUUGAACGCUGGCGGCAGGCCUAACACAUGCAAGUCGAGCGGUAGCACAGAGAGCUUGCUCUCGGGUGACGAGCGGCGGACGGGUGAGUAAUGUCUGGGAAACUGCCUGAUGGAGGGGGAUAACUACUGGAAACGGUAGCUAAUACCGCAUAACGUCGCAAGACCAAAGAGGGGGACCUUCGGGCCUCUUGCCAUCAGAUGUGCCCAGAUGGGAUUAGCUAGUAGGUGGGGUAACGGCUCACCUAGGCGACGAUCCCUAGCUGGUCUGAGAGGAUGACCAGCCACACUGGAACUGAGACACGGUCCAGACUCCUACGGGAGGCAGCAGUGGGGAAUAUUGCACAAUGGGCGCAAGCCUGAUGCAGCCAUGCCGCGUGUAUGAAGAAGGCCUUCGGGUUGUAAAGUACUUUCAGCGAGGAGGAAGGCAUUGUGGUUAAUAACCACAGUGAUUGACGUUACUCGCAGAAGAAGCACCGGCUAACUCCGUGCCAGCCGCCGCUGUAACAC
rnacentral:rRNA from 1 species